rnacentral:lncRNA from 1 species
AUGUGGGGAAUAGACGCUGUCAGCCCCAUUCACCUUUCAGCUUUUUUUUCCACAGCUCAUUUGUUCGUAAAGAGAAAUAGGCUAUCAUAUACGCGUCUCCGACUAUUCCCUGAAUGCAGCAUAAUUUUCAACGGGAUUCUCCUUUUUCACCAUCCGCGCAGGACCAUCACCAGCUGACCUUGUGGACAGAAUUGCUGGAUGUAAGCAGUGAUUUCACUCACAACCCUGGAGCUUUGAAGUACAAAUCCAGUGCCAUGGAAUCCCACAAGACUUGACAGCAUUACGAUCCUGUACUUAUCUUAACAAUGGCAAACAUGAUUUUAAACGACAUUCAUGCUUAGCUCUUGCCUCCUUUUUGGGGGAAUGGCUGUGAAUCUUCAUCAUACCUUUCAUUUACCUAAAAAAACAAGGUUUGGAAGCUAAAAACUGUAAGGUCUCUUGGCAGAACGUAACAGAACAAUUUUCCUUCUAUUGUGGUGGCUAACCAUAC